AAUGGCCAUAGAUGGUGAAUCCACACAAUAUUCAUACAUACACUCGAAAAACAUUACCCUUCUUCGGCAGUAGAGUUUAAAAUAAAUAUUUAUAAGCAGAUAACUUUAAUUAUAUUUGUGUUAUCAAAAUUCACUCUACAGCACUGAUAAAUUUCUUCUAACGUGCUGUAAAAACUUGUUAACUAACACUUUAAUAUUAAAUAUAUGGAGUCAAGGA